AGAGUUUGAUCCUGGCUCAGGACGAACGCUGGCGGCGCGCCUAACACAUGCAAGUCGAACGAGCGAGAGAGAGCUUGCUUUCUCGAGCGAGUGGCGAACGGGUGAGUAACGCGUGAGGAACCUGCCUCAAAGAGGGGGACAACAGUUGGAAACGACUGCUAAUACCGCAUAAGCCCACGGCUCGGCAUCGAGCAGAGGGAAAAGGAGCAAUCCGCUUUGAGAUGGCCUCGCGUCCGAUUAGCUAGUUGGUGAGGUAAUGGCCCACCAAGGCGACGAUCGGUAGCCGGACUGAGAGGUUGAACGGCCACAUUGGGACUGAGACACGGCCCAGACUCCUACGGGAGGCAGCAGUGGGGGAUAUUGCACAAUGGGGGAAACCCUGAUGCAGCGACGCCGCGUGGAGGAAGAAGGUCUUCGGAUUGUAAACUCCUGUUGUUGAGGAAGAUAAUGACGGUACUCAACAAGGAAGUGACGGCUAACUACGUGCCAGCAGCCGCGGUAAAACGUAGGUCACAAGCGUUGUCCGGAAUUACUGGGUGUAAAGGGAGCGCAGGCGGGAAGACAAGUUGGAAGUGAAAUCCAUGGGCUCAACCCAUGAACUGCUUUCAAAACUGUUUUUCUUGAGUAGUGCAGAGGUAGGCGGAAUUCCCGGUGUAGCGGUGGAAUGCGUAGAUAUCGGGAGGAACACCAGUGGCGAAGGCGGCCUACUGGGCACCAACUGACGCUGAGGCUCGAAAGUGUGGGUAGCAAACAGGAUUAGAUACCCUGGUAGUCCACACCGUAAACGAUGAUUACUAGGUGUUGGAGGAUUGACCCCUUCAGUGCCGCAGUUAACACAAUAAGUAAUCCACCUGGGGAGUACGACCGCAAGGUUGAAACUCAAAGGAAUUGACGGGGGCCCGCACAAGCAGUGGA
rnacentral:rRNA from 1 species